CCCACGAAUGUGACCUUAUUUGGAAAGGGGAUCUUUUCAGAUCUCAUUAAGUUAAGGAUCUUGAGAUGAGAUUACUCUGGUUUAUCCAAGUGGGCCCUACAUCUAAUGACAAAUGUCUUUCUAAAUGAAAGAGAGGGAUUUUAGACAGAUAGAAGAGAAGACACAGAUAAGAGGAGGAGGCAAUGUGACUGCAGAGACAGAGAUUGGUGUGAUGAGGCCACAAGUCAAGGAGUGCUGGCAGUCACCAACAGCUGGAAGAGGCAGAGAACAGAUCCUACCGAUUCCAGAGCCUCCAGAGGGAGCAUGGUCUUGCCAACACUUUGAUUCCAGACUUCUGUCCUCCUAGAAUGAUGAGAGAACAUAUUGCUGUUGUUUUUAACCCACGAAGUUUGCUAUUUCUGGCAUUGUGGCAAUCAACAAUAGGGUCACUGCUACCCCAUGUAGAGCCCUAACCAUCCCUUCUACUGACAGGAAAUUUUGCUUCUCUUUGCCUGAUAAUCCAAGAGGGAGGACCAGCAUCUCCAUGGCAUCUCACUCUGAUUUGUGAAGAUUUGGCCAGAGAAAUUGUUCUCAAGAGGGUGAAUUACAUGACAGCUUCUAUUUUAUGGCACCUUGCUAUCCACUUU